rnacentral:lncRNA from 1 species
GAUCCCAACCACUAAUCUAUGGUGCAAAUUGGAGAGAAAAAAAAAAAAAAGUUAAUGUUAGGACCCCCAGGCCUCUCAAAAAUAUCAAAGAGCCAAAACUGACCAGAUCAUCACAUCCAGACAAUGAGAUGCCAGUCCCUUCAUUCACCAUGAUUGCAUCCUUACCCCUCCCAAGUUCCUAUUUUCCUACACAUCAUUAUAUUUCUCUCCUGCUAUAUAAA